CCUGCUUUCAGCUUGCUACCGGGUCAUGCCGAGCACUCUGUAAAGGACUGCCCAGGAUAACGGGGAGGAAGGUGGGGAUGAUGUCAGGUCAGUAUUACCCUUACGCCUUGGGCUACAAACACGCUACAAUGGCCGGUACAAAGCGCUGCAAAC
rnacentral:rRNA from 1 species